rnacentral:rRNA from 1 species
GAUGAACGCUGGCGGCGUGCUUAACACAUGCAAGUCGAACGAAGCACUUUAUUUGAUUUCCUUCGGGACUGAUUAUUUUGUGACUGAGUGGCGGACGGGUGAGUAACGCGUGGGUAACCUGCCUUGUACAGGGGGAUAACAGUUGGAAACGGCUGCUAAUACCGCAUAAGCGCACGGCAUCGCAUGAUGCAGUGUGAAAAACUCCGGUGGUAUAAGAUGGACCCGCGUUGGAUUAGCUAGUUGGUGAGGUAACGGCCCACCAAGGCGACGAUCCAUAGCCGACAGGAGAGGGUGACCGGCCACAUUGGGACUGAGACACGGCCCAAACUCCUACGGGAGGCAGCAGUGGGGAAUAUUGCACAAUGGGCGAAAGCCUGAUGCAGCGACGCCGCGUGAGCGAAGAAGUAUUUCGGUAUGUAAAGCUCUAUCAGCAGGGAAGAUAAUGACGGUACCUGACUAAGAAGCACCGGCUAAAUACGUG